rnacentral:rRNA from 1 species
UACCUGGUUGAUCCUGCCAGUAGUCAUAUGCUUGUCUCAAAGACUAAGCCAUGCAUGUCUAAGUAUAAGUUUUAUACAGCGAAACUGCGAAUGGCUCAUUAAAACAGUUAUAGUUUACUUGAUAAUUACUCUUACAUGGAUACCCGUGGUAAUUCUAGAGCUAAUACAUGCUGAUUUGCCCGACUUUUUGGAAGGGCGGUAUUUAUUAGAUAACAACCAAUAUUCCGAAGGUCUAUCGUGGUGAAUCAUAAUAACUGAUCGAAUCGUAAAGCCUAUGGCGACGAUAAGUCAUUCAAGUUUCUGCCCCAUCAGCUUUAGAUGGUAGUGUAUUGGACUACCAUGGCAUUCACGGGUAACGGAGGAUUAGGGUUCGAUUCCGGAGAGGGAGCCUGAGAAACGGCUACCACAUCUAAGGAAGGCAGCAGGCGCGUAAAUUACCCAAUCCUGACUCAGGGAGGUAGUGACAAGAAAUAGCAAGAAGUACCUUGUGUAUUUCAUUGAAAUGAACCGAAUUUACACCACUUAGUGAGGAUCAAUUGGAGGGCAAGUCUGGUGCCAGCAGCCGCGGUAAUUCCAGCUCCAAUAGC